rnacentral:rRNA from 1 species
CCUACGGGAGGCAGCAGUGGGGAAUUUUGGACAAUGGGCGAAAGCCUGAUCCAGCCAUUCCGCGUGCAGGAUGAAGGCCCUCGGGUUGUAAACUGCUUUUGUACAGAACGAAAAAAGCUCCGGCUAAUACCUGGAGUCCAUGACGGUACUGUAAGAAUAAGCACCGGCUAACUACGUGC